CUAGCUGUAAACGAUGGAUGCUAGGUGUGAGUGGAUCUAACCCCGCUCGUGCCGAAGCUAACGCGUUAAGCAUCCCGCCUGGGAACUACGAGCGCAAGCUUAAAACUCAAAGGAAUUGACGGGGACCCGCACAAGCAGCGGAGCGUGUGGUUUAAUUCGAUGCUACACGAAGAACCUUACCCAGGUUUGACAUGUAGGUGGUAGUGAAGCGAAAGCGGAACGACCCGCAAGGGAGCCUGCACAGGUGU
rnacentral:rRNA from 1 species